rnacentral:rRNA from 1 species
CCUACGGGGGGCAGCAGUGAGGAAUAUUGGUCAAUGGACGAGAGUCUGAACCAGCCAAGCAGCGUGAAGGAUGACUGCCCUAUGGGUUGUAAACUUCUUUUAUAUGGGAAUAAAAUGUUACACGUGUGGGAUUUUGUAUGUACCAUAUGAAUAAGGAUCGGCUAACGCCGUGCCAGCAGCCGCGGUAAUACGGAGGAUCCGAGCGUUAUACGGAUUUAUUGGGGUUAAGGGGAGCGUAGGUGGAUUGUUAAGUCAGUUGUGAAAGUUUGCGGCUCAACCGUAAAAUUGCAGUUGAAACUGGCAGUCUUGAGUACAGUAGAGGUGGGCGGAAUUCGUGGUGUAGCGGUGAAAUGCUUAGAUAUCACGAAGAACUCCGAUUGCGAAGGCAGUUCACUGGACUGCAACUGACACUGAGGCUCGAAAGUGUGGGUAUCAAACAGGAUUAGAUACCCUUGUAGUC